rnacentral:rRNA from 1 species
GACGAACGCUGGCGGCGUGCCUAAUACAUGCAAGUCGAGCGGACGAAUCGAAAGCUUGCUUUUGAUUCGUUAGCGGCGGACGGGUGAGUAACACGUGGGCAACCUGCCCUGUAGACGGGGAUAACACCGAGAAAUCGGUGCUAAUACCGGAUAACACGAAAUGUCGCAUGACGUUUCGUUGAAAGACGGCGCAAGCUGCCGCUACAGGAUGGGCCCGCGGCGCAUUAGCUAGUUGGUGAGGUAACGGCUCACCAAGGCGACGAUACGUAGCCGACCUGAGAGGGUGAUCGGCCACCCUGGGACUGAGACACGGCCCAGACUCCUACGGGAGGCAGCAGUAGGGAAUCUUCCGCAAUGGACGAAAGUCUGACGGAGCAACGCCGCGUGAGCGAAGAAGGCCUUCGGGUCGUAAAGCUCUGUUGUUAGGGAAGAACAAGUAACGCAGUAACUGGCGUUACCGUGACGGUACCUAACGAGAAAGCCACGGCUAACUACGUG